GGGCGCUUGGUCUAGGGGUAUGAUUUUCGCUUCGCAUGUCUGUUCUUGUGUUUGUGAAAGGUCGUGGGUUCAAUUCCCACAGCGUCCA
rfam:Fungal sp. No.11243 DNA, scaffold: sccafold0011.